CGUUAGCGAUGUGCACUUUCAAAUUUCGGAGAAUUAUGGCCCUGUUGAAGCCUAAAUGGUCAGGAGAGUAACUUUCUAAGCAUAUCCUUAUGCAGGCAAAGUAUUGGUAACCUCUGGCAAGGUAAAGUCGACAAAAGCACACAGUAAAAUCUGAUGGUGGAAAGAAUCUGCUUACUGCUUGAACAUGAUUGAUUUGUAGAUAAUCUUCUAAGUUCUGAAUACGUUUUGCUGAUGUGACAUACCUAUAAAGCUGCCCAACUUGGAAUGUGUAUAGCUUUGCCUAUAGCAUUUCCCCUAUAUUAUUUAAACAAAUAUUUGUUUGAAAGUAAUUCCCAACAUCUACUGCUCUUCUAGGCUGAUCAACUCCAAAAUGUUACCUCAAAAUCUGUGCCAACUUUGCAAAUGUUUGUUUCUGAGUAAGUUGAAACUGAACUCAGUAAAUGUGGCUGGUUUGGCUGGAAGGAUCCAUUCUUCAUCAGAAAAGCUUUCUGACUCUGAGUCAGAGGAACAAACUGUCCAGAAAUGUGAAACUGAAGAGCUGCCUCAAAAUAGAGAGAACAGUAAUUCUGGAAGAUUGCAUGUACCAGUGAUGCUGGAGGAGGUUGUUAAUUGUUUAUCCCCUCAGCCAGGUCAGCGCUUCCUGGAUAUGACAUUUGGAGCUGGAGGUCACACAGCAGCUCUUCUGGAGAGAGCCAGAGACAUCACAGUGUAUGCCCUGGACAGGGACCCCACAGCCCACAGCAUCGCUCAGCAGCUGGCAGCAGCUACCCGAACCAGCUUCAGCCUCUCCUGGGAAGGUUCAGCCAGUCAGAGGCUUUGUUAAUCUCAUCUGGGGUUGAGCCAGGCACUCUGGAUGGAGUUCUCCUGGAUGCUGGCUGUUCUUCCAUGCAGUUAGACACACCUGAAAGAGGCUUCUCCCUGCAGAAGGAUGGGCCCUUGGACAUGAGGAUGGAUCAUGACAGGUGCCCUGGCAUGGCCACGGCCGCGGAUGUGGUGAACGCGCUGGACCGGCGGGCGCUGGCGGCAGUGCUGAGCGCGUACGGCGAGGAGAGGCACGCCAGGAGGAUCGCCUCUGCCAUCGUGCAGGCACGCAGCAUCUACCCCAUCACCAGCACCAGGCAGCUGGCAUGCAUCGUGGCAGGUGCUUUUCCAGCAUCAGCACUCUACGCACGGAAGGACUUGCUUCAGAGACCUGUGCAUGUUGCUACUAAAACUUUCCAAGGCCUGAGGAUAUUUGUGAAUGAUGAGCUCCAUGAACUCUUGAUAGGGCUGAAGACAGCUGAGAAGUUCCUGAGGCCUGGAGGUCGCCUUGUAGCCCUGUCCUUUCACUCCCUGGAAGAUCGAAUCAUCAAACGUUUCCUUCAUGGCAUUGACAUGACAGAGAAACACAACCUUGGCUCAAAGCAGAAGAUCAGACAGGCUCUGAAAAAUGCCUCCAGAGGAGAAGACGCACAAGGAUCUCCCUGUGGAAAAUCCAACUCCAAGUGGAUUUCUAUACAGAAAAAAGUUCUCACACCUCAGGCCAAGGAUAUUCAAACAAACCCAAGAGGAAGGUCGGCCAAGCUAAGAGCUGCUAUUAAACUCUAAACCAAAAUAUAUGAUUACAUGAUUGUAUCAUUUCCUGAAAUUCUGUUUUCCAGAAUGCUAAUUGGACAGAUAUUGCCAAACAAAAAAUACAAGGAAGGCUGUGAGAAAACACUUCUUUCUUACCUUUGUGCUUCUUUGUGCUUUGGUUAGGAAGCAGUAUAGAGCAUGAAAAUGUAAACUAAAUGCAUAUAAGUGGGUGUCACUAAUUAUACAAAAAAGACACCUUUUUUUAAAAGAGCAUCAAACACCAAUUUUAUAAAAUUGGCAGGUUUGAUGCAUUUAUAGUAUUCCCUUAGAUUAAUUUCAAGAUCCUGGCAUCUAAAUUCAGUAGCUAAUUGAGACAUAUUUUUAUGGGAGUGGAUUUCACACACCUGAUUCAGAUGUCUGCUUUAGUCUAGAGUAAGUUUAAACUCACCUAAGAAUUUUUGAUAUAUCUGUUUGUGUAUCCCAGCUAACUUGUUGCAUGAAUGCCAUUGGGACAAAAGGUAAUUCUGAAAUAAACUGACAUCAGCAUCAGCGUCUGUCCAGGAAUUUGUAAAUGGAAUCUUAGCUUUUUUAAACCAUAACUCCUGUGCACAGAUCCUCUACAACUUUUAGGUGCUGAUGGAAUUAUAAUUAACCCAUCAAAAAAGCAAUGUUGUGGGUCUUAUGAAGUAUUCUUCUUUGCUUGUGAUCAUUUAUUGAGAGGUAAGUAUUAAAUUAUUUUAGGAAAAGCCGACUCUUAACACUAGCUUUUUGUUUGAGUGCUAUACUCAGCUGUAGAACAUUCAGCAUAAUUUCUUGUUUAGUUACUAUGAAUUAAAUUUAGUUAGGGGUUUAUAUUUUAUCUUAAGAG